GUCAAGUUUGAUGUUAAUGAAAAAAAACAUUUAAAAAAAACCUUUUAUCCUACAAAGUAAAAGUGAAUGCACUCAAAUGGAAAAGGAAGACUUACCAAUCAAUUUUCAGAAUGCUGCAGAAAUCGCUGCAAUUGUAUUUCCUUCUUAAAUUAUGAGUUCUCUCAAAAUCUUCUAUUAUCACGAGCAAACAGUUUUUGAAGUGUAACAUGAUACCCUUAACAACAAACACUGAAGAACUGGUGCCCACGAAUGCAGCAGAUUUCACUACUGUGGAUAACAUACACAGAUUCUGAAAACAGAACUGGAAUGUGCUAUACCGAUUUGAAAGAAAGGAGGGUGGAAAAAAGAGAAAACAUAAUGAGAAUAUCAAUAAGGUGCUAUAUCACACAGAUUCAUCCCACUAAACGCUUGUGGAGAUGCCUUCUACAUUAG
rnacentral:lncRNA from 1 species